GCAGGGACGACUCGCCACACAUUAACCCGAGUAAAAAACGAAACACCACUUGAUUCGACAUUAUUCUAUCCCCUAUUCUUCUGCAUUUUUGACAUAUUUCGUCAGUUCUGUGGCUGUUGACGCAGCGGUACCCAGGAGGUGUGUACGCGGAACAGACACGUACAUCACGGCUCUGCGUCUGUUCAGUCAGCGCCCCUCCCUCCCCGGCUCCCAGCAUCCCUGUCAGCCCGGUGAUGCUGUCAUAAACCGGAGAAUAAAUCCCGUUUAACGAUCGUGAAGUGGGCCUUGGUAUUUUGUGAAUGGUUUUAAUGGUUGGCUGCGUUAAAUUGUAAGUACUAUUUAAUGUGUUAUCGGAUUAAACCUCAUUCAGAGGCAUCAUAGAACACGGUUGGUGCUAUUUUUAUUUGCACAUCUCGCAUUGUGAAUCCGCGCUCGGCGUGAAUAAUACAUUUCUCUUUCACUCGGGAGUUUUUUUUGAGGUUUUCCAAGGGCAUCAGUGAGCGGCACGGUGCGGCAGGGAUGUGCACUGCUCAGGUAUAGACGGAGCAAGAGGAAAUGAGCCGGUUUGUGCUGCUGUAGUAUUUGAUUUGAUCCGAUUUAUCCGUGAUAUCCAGGCUCUCUGCUCUAGCUCCCCUCUCCUUCAGCGGACGAGGAUGAGACGUCAUGAGUUGAUCUGACAGAUGUUGCUGUGUUGCACAGGCAUAUAUUCUUCGCGUGCUCUCGCUGUUUUUUGGGGUAUGAUUGUGUAAAACGGGGCGUGCGAUUAAUGUUAAAAUCCUCGCGUCGUGCUCGCAACCUUCAUUUAAUUUUCGGGAUUGCAUAAAAUGAUACCAGGAUCUGCCGCAUCAAUGCUACCGUCUGCAGAAGCUGCGAAACUGUACCAGACCAACUAUGUCCGCAACUCCAGUGUCAUCGGACUCCUAUGGGCCAUCUUCACCAUCCUGUUCGGCAUUGUUAACGUGAUCAUCUUCUCUCAGCCGUACUGGGUUGGAGAUGGCGUGGAUACGCCGCAGGCCGGCUACUUCGGCCUGUUUCACUUUUGCGUCGGAGACGGUAUCUCCAGAGACGUGGUCUGCGAGGGUAGCUUCACCGAGUUCGCUGCUAUCCCCUCCACCGCGUUCAAGGCCGCUUCCUUCUUCAUCGGUAUGUCCAUGAUGCUGAUAGUCACCUGCAUCGCGUGCUUCAGCCUCUUCUUCCUCCUCGGAACCUCCACCGUCUACAAGAUCUGCGGUUGGAUGCAGGCAUUAUCAGGUGUCUGUCUGGUGCUGGGCUGUAUCAUCUAUCCUGAUGGUUGGGACAGUGACGAGGUGCGGAAGAUGUGCGGGGAGCAGACGGACAAAUACAGCCUGGGAGCCUGCUCAGUGCGCUGGGCCUACAUCUUGGCCAUCAUGGGCAUCCUGGACGCUCUCAUCCUCUCCUUCCUGGCCUUCGUCCUCGGGAACCGGCAGGACGGACUCAUGUCAGAAGAGCUGCUGGCUGAGAGCAAGGGUGAGAAUAUACUAUCUAAUCCGACAAUAUGUGAUAUUUUAUUGAUCUCUUUUCGGAAAUGUACUCUUGGCCUGUGCACUGUGCUGGAAUUCAAAGCCAGGCUCAGAACAUGUUGGGAUUUAAUGUCUUCAACAAGUCUGCUAUACUUGCCAUCAUGUGAACCUAAAGUGAUUCAUAUAUGGUGUAGGACAGCUUCUUUCAUCUUAAGGCUACCUUCCUCACCAAAUCUAUUUUUCAAAAUAAUAAAUAUCUCUACACAAUUAUCGCAUACAAAAAACAUGCAUCUAGAAACAGAUUACAGUGAAUUUCCAAUUAUUAUUUUUGUAGCUUGCAUAAUGGUUUACAUCUUAGAGUCACUUAUGUGCAUUAAGUUUGUUUUUGGCUGGCCACAAGACAACUUGCCCUAAAAGUGCACUCUUGUAAUUUCUGCAAUAGUGGGCUAGCAAAAAGCAUACACUUAAAGUCAAUUAUAUUAUAUAUUAUUAUAUUUUGGGCUCAUUACAAUAACGCCUGACUUGCAUUUCAGUAAAUUGCCAAUAUUAUGUUCAAAUGUAAACAAGUGCAUCUGGUCCAACUUUCUUAAGAAUAGUAUUCUCAUCUAACACAAACCAUGUGACUUUCAACCUUGCUAAGCUGAAUUGUGCACUCUUUUAUUCAUCCACUGGAAGUAAAGUUUUGAUGCAGCCUUUAUAAAAACUAAACUAAAUGUAGAAAGAUAUACAUUUAUUUGGAAAAAGUGGCUACAUGAGCUAACUUUUUAAUAAAGUGUUAAUUACACUAAAAUAAAUCAAAAGACAACUAUGUGCACUAAUAUUGAGGCAUUGAAAAGAAGCACUGUUUUGCAACCAUAUAUGCAAUAAAUGAAAAACUUUUUUUUCUCCCACCUAAUUUGACAUGUUUUUACCAUUCCAAUUUGUUUGCUCUUUUGCUAAAUUAACAUCUCUUAGUGAAAUAUUGUAAUAUUAAAUGCAUUUACACAGAGAUUCACAGGGCAAUCUGCUGUCAAACAAUGUAUAUUUGGUCAAGGCUGAGAGGAUUCAAGCGGACGGCAUCCAAACUAAGGUAACAAACCGCUUUACUGGUGUUCUGCUAGUAAAGGGGUUUUAACAUCCUUUAAGGUUCAUUUUAAAUGUUAUACCUAUAUUUCAAGUCACAUACUGUAUGUGCUCGCUACUAAGAUCCAAAGACAGCUGGAAUAUCUUAAUAUCCGACCCAUUUUCAUGAUUUAAUCAUGGAAAUGGCCUGGCGUGUGUCCAUGAAUAUGCAAUGUCUGCAUUACUAUCACAGGUCUACUGUGAAAAGGCCCGGAUCCAGGUAUGUCUCCCAGAGGGAAAUGGGAUUAGUUUGUCCAUGCCAUGUAGAUUGAAAUAGAACCAGGUAGGCAUGGGCAACCAACAACCCAUCAAACUAAAGUGUGGAGAAAGAAGAAGAAAUAAUGAAAAUAUGACAAUACUUGAAAGGGGCGGAAGGUGCUUGAAAUGUCACUUUCUUAUAAGAGAAGCAAAUAUGUUUCAUCAUUUUAGUUAAAUUGUCAAACCAUCUGUGCAUGCAGCUGGUACUAUUCUCUACAUAGUAAUACAACCACAUCUCACAGGAGCUAAAUGCAAUCUAUAUUUUAUAUAUGAUAUAUUCAAAUGAUACAUUUGAGAGAAUAAAACAAGAUGAAGAUCUAAAAGGUGAAACUCUGAAUGCUAAGAUUGAUAACUUAACUAGUCAAUAAAAAGCCUCUCUGCUUCAUUGAUUAACCAUUCCUUGGUUUAGGGCUCAGGGAAAUCUAUUAAUAUGAAUAUUUUACUACAGUUAAAUACACUUUAGCUCAUCCCUGGUGCCAUCUACUGGUGUUUGUGUGCAAUACACCCAACCAGUCAUAGGGAAGGAUGUGAACAAGGGAGUCUAAUAUAGCCCGACCUUGAGAACCGUGUUAGCACUUUUAUCUUUUACUCUGUGUUUAUGUUUUUGCAGAGGGAGGCAAUGCCUAACCAAAAUCUUAAGGUCCCUGAAUUUCCAUGUGUCUGUUUUCAUGAAGUACCCGUCAACCCUCAACAUCAGCUUAGCGGAGAGAGGCCAUCCAGUUCUGUGGAGGAGAGGAAUUCUGUGGAACCAGCCAGCCUGCCUUUCACAUCAACCUGCCAAAUACCCAGUGUACCCUACCCUCAAAGUCCAUCCAUUUUGCUUGCCGUCCCCGAAUCGUCCCCAGCACUUAGAUGGAGCCCGAUGCACUUCUACCCCAAUGUGUCUACAGACCUCACCCUUGCACAACAUUGCAUAGACCAUGGCAGGGGCAGAGACUGUUAUUCUACCGAGAAGUAUACAGACU